CAAAUUCUGGUUUUUGCUGUUUAUACGCCCAGGUGCGGGACAAUGGAAUGUUACUCAGCCGUUAAAAAAAAAUGAAAUAAUGCCCGUUGAAGCAACACGGGAGGACUUAGGGGUGAUCACACUAAGUGAAGUAAGUCAGAAAGGAAAGAGAAAUAUUACAUGAUGUGACUUAAAGGUGGAAACCAGACAUUACUACAAAGGAACCAAUUUACAAAACAUAAACAGCCUCACAGACCUAGAAAACAAAAGUAUGGAUACCAAAGUGGAAAGGUGGUGGAAAGGGACAAAUGAGGUAUAGCAUGUUCCCCAUAAUAUAUGUGAAAUCGAUAAUCAACAAAGACCUACUGUAUGCCACUGUAUGUUGGGAAACUCUACCCAACACUCUUUAAUAAACUAUAUGGGGAAAGAAUCAGAAAAAAACCAGAUGUAUUUCUAUGUAAAACUGAAUCAACUUGCUGAAUACCUAAAACAAUACAACAUUGUUAAACAAUCUACUCCAAUAUAAAAUAAAACAAAUUCAAAAACGAAAUGCCUCCUACCUCCCUCUCAGCCCUCGGUGACCUGUGCUUGUGUUACAUCUCCGGCAUGGGUCCCAAGGAUGGACUGACCUGGGACAGAGGGACCUGGGAAGGAUGGUGCAGCGAAUUAGCCCUCCUUGGACCUGUAGUGCCUGGUCCCGACUGCAUGGGACCACAGUCUCAAGAUCCAGGUGGGUACUCCUACCCCUGAACCAAGCCCAGUGCACCCAGAGGACGGUGGACUCUCUGGGCUGGAAGAGCUCUGAAAAGUCAGCUGGUCUCCAGGUCUCCUGCUGACCAGAAAUUGAACCCGAGCCCCUAGACUGGAAGAUCAGAGUGUUAACCACUGGACCGCCAGGGAAGUCUCCUUGGUUGAUUUUUCAGCCCCAUACCACUCGAAUUUACACCCAGAAAUACAACUUUCUCUCAGGUUCUUGUGGCAAGAAUAACCAGCUUUGGGGAUGAAGAAAUCCUGCCACCUUGUGGCCGAUACCGCAACGACAGCUUUAAAACCAGUGCUUAUGAGCACUUCAUAUUCACAAAGCCUGGGGGGCUGUAAAUGACACCUGCCCUCAAGAAAUGUCCUUGGGUAGGAAAUGGAAAAAAGAAUUUAAAACUCUGACGACCGUGAAGAAGCCAAUUUAAAGAGGUAACUUCUACACACACGAAUAAAAGAAAAAAAAAAAAGUCAAGGUGCUCAGCAGCCCUACCUAUCAGAGAAACGGAUAUCAAAACUACAAGGGAGGGGGCUUCCCUGGUGGCGCAGUGGUUGAGAGUCCGCCUGCCGCUGCAGGGGACAUGGGUUCGUGCCCCGGUCCGGGAAGAUCCCACAUGCCGCGGAGCGGCUGGGCCCGUGAGCCAUGGCCGCUGAGCCUGCGCGUCUGGAGCCUGUGCUCGGCAACGGGAGAGGCCGCAGCAGUGAGAGGCCCGCGUACCGCAAAAAAAACAAAAAAAAAAAACUACAAGGAGGUAUCACCUCGGACCAGUCACAAUGGCCAUCAUCAAAAUGUCUACAAACAAUAAGAGCCGGUGAGAGCGUGGAGAAAAGGGAACGUGCCUACGCUGCUGGUGGAAACGGAACCUGGUAACUGCCACGAUAAACAACAGUAUGGAGGUUCCUUAAAAAAUUAAUAAUAAAGAGACCAGACGAUCCAGCAGUCCCACUCCUUUGGAGAUAUCCAGAGAAAAUCAGCAUUCGAAAACACCUGCGUACCCCAACGGCCAUAGCAUCCGUAUGUUCAAUGGCCAAGACCUGGAAGCAAAGAAAAUGUUCACAGACCAAUGAAUGGACAAAGAAGAUGGAGUACAUAUAGACAAUGGAAUACUGCUCAGCCAUAAAAAUUGAAAUAAUGCCACUUGCAGCAACCCGGAUGGACUUAGAAGUGAUCAUACUAAGCGAAGCCUCAGUGACCCGGGCUGCCGUGCCAUCCCUAGAAUAUGAGCCGGCUUGGGUCCCAAGGCUGGACUGACCUGGGACAGAGGGACCUGGGAAGGAUGGUGCAGCAACUGAGCCCUCCUCGGACCUGUAGUCCUGGUCCCAUCUGCGUGGGACCACAGUCUCCAGAUCCAGGAAAUCAAGUUAUCAAUGCCUGAAGGAGAUUGACCAGAGGUGGAAGGACAUAGCAAAUUUCCAGAUCAUCACACAGACAUCAGCACCACAGGACCCCAAAAGUCCAGAACGUGUAGAAGCAAACGAGGGGACAAACUGCCUCAAAAGGGAUAUUAGUCAUGUAUACUCCCUGCAAGAGUACAUCAAAGGGCUUGUUUCCACUGAUGUUGACAAGAGACGCUACAAAGGCACUUUACGUUUUCUAUAUAAGAGAAGAAAAAUGAUUACAUUGGCUUUGUAAUUUAUUUCCCCCGACCAUCAUUGAGGUUGGGUGCCUCUUCAUGUGUAAAAUGAUCAUUUUUCUUUUACUGUGAAAUUUAAUUUCAUAGGUUCCAAAUAUUUUUAUUUGUUUGCUUCUAUUUUUUCUCUUGAUUGAGAGGCAAUUCAAAUAUACUUUAUAUUUGUGGUGUCUUCUCCCACAUCCUUCCAAGCCAAUUACUGUGCACACAUUCACUAAAAAAAUUUGUCAAGGAACUUGUUGUCACAGGUCAUCCAUCACUCAAGACACUUGAUAUGAGGGCCAUCUGCCAUGCACAGCCUUACAUCAAGAGCUCUGUACUGAGCUCUUUGCUCUCAACUUGUGGACCAGUUAAAGGAUGAGGAUAUCGUUAAACCUCACAACCUACAGCGAAGCACAUUGGUCAGUCCUUAUGUACAUCAUUGCCAACAGGCCUGGGAGCUUCUCCUAUGACGUUCCCCAGCUUGCCACCAAGACAUCUGGUCUGUACCAUGUCACCAACCACAGAGCACUGAAGUGUAGACUCAAUGUGCAGACCAGAGAAUGUCAUACAUAAAUGUCAUCAGGACUCCAAACUCAGGCAGCAGGCAAGAGAUCUGCCUGGGUCUCCAUCCUAUUUUGCUAGAUCUUCCCCUCCUACCUACCCCCUCCUCACAAAAAUGUAAGACUCAGGUCCCUUUUAUCCUCUGAGGAUACUCAGAGACCUGAUCUGUGGAAUUAUCGAUCUGUGGAAUUAUCCACAGCCUUUAUCCUCUUCCCAGUACAACUGGACUUGGAUUCACACAGGCACACCAAAUGACCAUAAGGACACCUGCCCCAAUGCUAAGCAUUGACUCCCAGCCUCUACCCAACUCACCUCACCUGAGCCCAAUCCAGGCCUGCACUGUCCCCCAACCUCCACCAUCUACGCAUGUUCCAGACCAAGCCCUCAGAAUUGUCUUCAUGAUGGGACAAGGGAUGCGGGGAGGGCUCCAGGUUCGGAACACCUUUCAUUUCAUCCUCCUAAGAAGCCUUCUCCUACAAGUCAGAUGUUUCACCUCUUAGGGGAGCCUGGGUGAUACUGACCCAUGUCCCAGUCCACAUUCUCCAGGAGGACCUUCUGGUCUCCUCUGAAGGGAGUGACCCGCCCUGCCCCAAGGCACGGAAGAUUCAGCCUCCAGGCUAACAGGGCUCAGAGGCGACUACUGGAGUAAAAGAAAGAAGAAAGGAGCAGAAUUUGUCUCAUGAAUUAGCACUUCCCCAGCUGUGGUUUACGUACAAA